rnacentral:rRNA from 1 species
CAGCCGCCGCGGUAAUACAGAGGGUGCGAGCGUUAAUCGGAUUUACUGGGCGUAAAGCGUGCGUAGGCGGCUUCUUAAGUCGGAUGUGAAAUCCCUGAGCUUAACUUAGGAAUUGCAUUCGAUACUGGGAAGCUAGAGUAUGGGAGAGGAUGGUAGAAUUCCAGGUGUAGCGGUGAAAUGCGUAGAGAUCUGGAGGAAUACCGAUGGCGAAGGCAGCCAUCUGGCCUAAUACUGACGCUGAGGUACGAAAGCAUGGUGAGCAAACAGGAUUAGAUACCCCCGUAGUCCCUGUCUCUUAUAC